rnacentral:sRNA from 1 species
GCCCCCAAAGAGCUAACACCACAUUGUGAGUGCCGGAGAUAAGCGCCGGAGGGGCAAAUCCC